rnacentral:rRNA from 1 species
AGCGAACGCUGGCGGCAGGCUUAACACAUGCAAGUCGAACGGGCGUAGCAAUACGUCAGUGGCAGACGGGUGAGUAACGCGUGGGAACGUACCUUUUGGUUCGGAACAACCCAGGGAAACUUGGGCUAAUACCGGAUAAGCCCUUACAGGGAAAGAUUUAUCGCCGAAAGAUCGGCCCGCGUCUGAUUAGCUAGUUGGUGUGGUAACGGCGCACCAAGGCGACGAUCAGUAGCUGGUCNGAGAGGAUGAUCAGCCACA